AUUGAACGCUGGCGGCAGGCCUAACACAUGCAAGUCCAGCGAGCGGCGGACGGGUGAGUAAUGUCUGGGACACUGCCUGAUGGAGGGGGAUAACUACUGGAAACGGUAGCUAAUACCGCAUACCAUCAGAUGUGCCCCGAGGGGAUUAGCUAGUAGGUGGGGUAACGGCCCACCUAGGCGACGAUCCCUAGCUGGGCUGAGAGGAUGACCAGUCACAAGGGAAGUGUGACAAGGUCCACACUCCUCAGGGAGUCAGCAGUGGGGAAUAGUGCACAAUGGGCGCAAGCCUGAUGCAGCCAUGCCGGGUGUGUGAAGAAGGCCUUCGGGUUGUAAAGCACUUUCAGCGGGUAGGCGUUGCCCGCAGAAGAAGCACCGGCUAACUCCGUGCCAGCAGCCGCGGUAAUUC
rnacentral:rRNA from 1 species